AUUGAACGCUGGCGGUAGGCUUAACACAUGCAAGUCGUGCGAGAAAGUAUCUUCGGAUAUGAGUAGAGCGGCGGACGGGUGAGUAACGCGUAGGAAUCUACCUAGUAGAAGGGGAUAGCCCGGGGAAACUCGGAUUAAUACCGUAUACCUCCUUAGGGAGAAAGAGGGCCUCUCUUGAUGCUCUCGCUAUUAGAUGAGCCUGCGUAAGAUUAGCUUGUUGGUGAGGUAAUGGCUCACCAAGGCUACGAUCUUUAGCUGGUCUGAGAGGACGAUCAGCCACAUUGGGACUGAGACACGGCCCAGACUCCUACGGGAGGCAGCAGUGGGGAAUAUUGGACAAUGGGCGCAAGCCUGAUCCAGCCAUACCGCGUGUGUGAAGAAGGCUCUAGGGUUGUAAAGCACUUUAAGCAGGGAGAAAAAGUUAUAAGUUAAUACCUUAUAACCGUGAUGUUACCUGCAGAAUAAGCACCGGCUAAUUCCGUGCCAGCAGCCGCGGUAAUACGGAAGGUGCAAGCGUUAAUCGGAAUUACUGGGCGUAAAGCGCGCGUAGGUGGUUUGUUAAGUUGGAUGUGAAAGCCCUGGGCUCAACCUAGGAACUGCAUCCAAAACUAACUCACUAGAGUACGAUAGAGGGAGGUAGAAUUCAUAGUGUAGCGGUGGAAUGCGUAGAUAUUAUGAAGAAUACCAGUGGCGAAGGCGGCCUCCUGGAUCUGUACUGACACUGAGGUGCGAAAGCGUGGGUAGCGAACAGGAUUAGAUACCCUGGUAGUCCACGCCGUAAACGAUGACAACUAGCUGUUGGGAGACAAUGUCUUUCAGUGGCGCAGCUAACGUUUUAAGUUGUCCGCCUGGGGGAGUACGGCCGCAAGGCUAAAACUCAAAUGAAUUGACGGGGACCCGCACAAGCGGUGGAGCAUGUGGUUUAAUUCGAUGCAACGCGAAAAACCUUACCUACUCUUGACAUACUUGGAAGCUCUUGGUAAU
rnacentral:rRNA from 1 species